rnacentral:lncRNA from 1 species
AUUAAAGGCAGUUUUAUAAAACCUCCCUUAAAUUUACAGAAUAAAGCAAAUACACAGGAGGAAAUAUACCACCAAGGAUUAAAGAAGCUCAUGUCAGGACCAGGGAGUUUGCAGUCACAUAGAGUGACUCCCAGGGAAAUCAAAACAACCAGUAACCAUGGUGCUUGAAAUUUGGUGUUAUUACCUGGAGAGCACCUAUGCCUCACAAGAACAAGUAAAAUUUCUUUCAGUGGAUCAUACGAGUAGACAAUGCAUUUUUUUCCUUCCCCAAAACAUGCUCCAUGUAGGCAUCAAGAAACAGAGACAAAGAAUUUUCACUCUUUUUCUGUGCUAAAGUUGCCAAUCCGUCUAGCUGAUCAAGACAGCUAGGGCUAAGAAUCAAGUAAGUUUUUAGCCAAGAGUAGCAUUGAAAGAAAUAAAGAAAGAGAGAGAGAGAGAAAGAGAAGGAGAGCAAG